GUCGCAUUUCUGUGUGUAAUUUCGUGCGUGGUGGGGGCAUCUCGUGACGAUGUGCAGCCCAGCGGCAUGUUGUUGAGACGAACUACGGAGUUGUACCUGUAGCAAUUGUUUUAUCAGUUCUACCCAGAUAAGGAAUGCAAAUAAGGGAGCAGUUCUUGGCGUACUAUUCAUUUCAAAACUAGACUCUACAGCUCAAAUGAUCAUAACGUUUUGCUAUGUGAUUUCUCUUAGCAAAAGGAUCGCGAGAUAGUGAGCAAAUUCUGAAGCUGUGGGAAGAAAUUGCUGUCACUUGUUAACUAUCGCUCCAAGAAAGGAGGUCAACACUGUGCAGCAAUGAGGAGGUGCCAGUUCAACGAACAUCUAAGAAACAGAACUUCCGUUCAAAAAGUGUCUUUGGUAAACCAACCCUGGCUGAAAAGACAAAUGUUGCUAAUGCUUUGGUGCAACCUGACAGUGAAGUGUUGAGUGUACAUGUUGGCUUUGAUCACACAUAAUCUAAGAAUUUAAUUUAUCUGUCCUACAGUUGUGUAUGCAUGUUUGUUUAUCAUGGUUUAUAGGCCUACUGAGGAAACUCGCCAUGUAAAAAAAUGAGUAACGCAUCAUACUCGGUACCUCAGAGUAAUGUGGAAAUCCGAGUGUACUUAAUAAAGAAAAUGUCACUGUU